rnacentral:rRNA from 1 species
GACAGAGGUGCCAAGCGUUAGGCGGAAUCACUGGGCUUAAAGCGUGUGUAGGCGGAUCGUUAAGUACCUUGUGAAAUCCCACGGCUCAACCGUGGAACUGCUGGGUAUACUGGCGAUCUUGAGCCACCUAGGGGCGAGCGGAACAAACGGUGGAGCGGUGAAAUGCGUAGAUAUCGUUUGGAACGCCAACGGUGAAAACAGCUCGCUGGGGGUGUGCUGACGCUGAGACACGAAAGCGUGGGUAGCAAACAGG